GGAAGGGGAGUGAAAGAGAACUUGAAACCGUGUGCUUACAAGUAGUCAGAGCCCGUUAAUGGGUGAUGGCGUGCCUUUUGUAGAAUGAACCGGCGAGUUACGAUCUGAUGCAAGGUUAAGCAGAAAAUGUGGAGCCGUAGCGAAAGCGAGUCUGAAUAGGGCGUAUAGUAUUUGGUCGUAGACCCGAAACCAGGUGAUCUACCCAUGGUCAGGUUGAAGUUCAGGUAACACUGAAUGGAGGACCGAACCGACUUACGGUGAAAAGUGAGCGGAUGAACUGUGGGUAGCGGAGAAAUUCCAAUCGAACUUGGAGAUAGCUGGUUCUCUAGGAAGUAGCUUUAGGGCUAGCCUCAAGUGAUGAUUGUUGGAGGUAGAGCACUGUUUGGACGAGGGGCCCCUCUCGGGUUACCGAAUUCAGACAAACUCCGAAUGCCAAUACGUUUAACUUGGGAGUCAGAACAUGGAUGAUAAGGUCAGAGGUGGAACGGGCAAAAGCC
rnacentral:rRNA from 1 species